rnacentral:rRNA from 1 species
AGAGUUUGAUCAGUGGCUCAGGACGAACGCUGGCGGCGUGCUUAACACAUGCAAGUCGAACGAAGCUUGAUGAUUGAUUUCUUCGGAAUGAUUUCUGAUAUGACUGAGUGGCGGACGGGUGAGUAACGCGUGAGGAACCUGCCUUUCAGAGGGGGACAACGUUUGGAAACGAACGCUAAUACCGCAUAACAUUACCGAGUGGCAUCGCUUGGUAAUCAAAGAUUUAUCGCUGAAAGAUGGCCUCGCGUCCAAUUAGCUGGUUGGUGAGGUAACGGCCCACCAAGGCGACGAUUGGUAGCCGGACUGAGAGGUUGAACGGCCACAUUGGGACUGAGACACGGCCCAGACUCC